rnacentral:rRNA from 1 species
CGGAGGCAGCAGUGGGGAAUAUUGCGCAAUGGGCGAAAGCCUGACGCAGCAACGCCGCGUGGGGGAUGAAGGUUCUCGGAUUGUAAACCCCUUUCGAUCGGAACGAAUCCCCUCCUGGUAAAUAAUCAGGAGGAUCGACGGUACCGAGAGAAGAAGCCACGGCUAACUCUGUGCCAGCAGCCGCGGUAAGACAGAGGUGGCAAGCGUUGUUCGGAUUUAUUGGGCGUAAAGCGCACGCAGGCGGUUUGGUAAGUCAGAGGUGAAAGGCUACAGCUUAACUGUGGUAUUGCCUUCGAUACUGCCUUUCUUGGGUAGAGUAGGGGGAAGCGGAAUUCCGAGUGUAGAGGUGAAAUUCGUAGAUAUUCGGAGGAACACCGGUGGCGAAGGCGGCUUCCUGGACUCUAACUGACGCUCAUGUGCGAAAGCGUGGGGAGCAAACAGGAUUAGAAACCCCAGUAGUCCU